CUGAUAUUUUCUUCACAGCAGAAGCAGUUGCCCUCUCUCGCUCUCUUUUCCCUCGUGCUCUCUACUCUCUCCCUGGCCCUCGUUCUUCUUUCUUUACUGAGCAGCAACCACACCGAGCAGCAGAACCAUGGCAGCAAAGCUCUUCCUUUGCUACUGCUCUCUCUCUCUCUCUUCUUCACCACAGAGCUCAACCGAGCAGUGCAACAACAGCAGCUCCUCUCUCAGUUUCCCUCUCCCUCACUGCUCUGUCUCUCGCCAUUUUCGCCACUGAGCUCACGACCGCACAGAGCAAAGCAAUAGAGCACUGAGCAGCACGCCGCCACAAAAUCCAACACCCCGAGCCCAAUCCGCCCAGGCCGAGGUCCCAGCAGCUCGGAGGAGGGUCGUGCACAUCUGGUCCCUUUAGUUCCCGCGCGAAUCCCUCAGUUUCCUCAGCCGAAUAGAGCUUUCACGCGUCGUCUUCCCCAACUCCGGCGAGCCGAUCCGGGCGCACGUCGAGCCGCGGCUGCAGAGCUCCUUCCGGAUAAACGAGAGCACGGUGAGCUUAAUGGGACCCUCCUUGCACUUUUUCCCGCGCUAGUUCAUCGUUGGCCCGUCGCCGGCAUGGCCGUCCACGCGGACCGAGCGCUGCCGCGCUAUGGUGCUCGCCGCCGGCCAGGCCCUCCGCCCGGCUGUGCCUUAAAUGAGUUCUCCAUUGCGCGCUGGUGCUGCUUUUGUCCUUUCCUGGCCGAGCCGCUCGCCGUUCGCCGCCGGUGAGCUUGCCGAACGCCGGCCAUGGCGUUUGCUUGUACAGGCUGUUCUGUACAGAGCACAUAACCUGGUCAACCUAGUCAUGUUGACCGGAGUCAACCUGUCUGGACCCACUAUUCAGUCUUUGUAGCUAGCUGAGUAAGGGUAAAAAUGCUCUGUGUUACUGUUUCGGAUAAUCCAAAGAAAAAGCGAAAUUGAAUUAUUGUUGCAAUGCUAAAUCAGCUGAAAGUUGUAAAAUUCAUAGGAAAAUAAUUGUUGCUUCAAAAAUCAUGAAACUGCUUUUGUUAGCUUUAUAUGAUCAUGCUCUACAUAUUGAAUAUAUCAUGAGCCAUAAAAUAUAUACUGAAAUUUCUAUACUUAAUGAGAUGUGUUUAAACUUAAUAAUUUAUAAUUAAUUUUUGGUAAUUUCGAGAAGCCAAUUUUGUUAAUCUUGUUAUAUUUUUCCCUGUUGAUUAAAAAUAUUCAUCCUCAUGCUGUACUUAAUUAAUUUUUUGUUUAGGAUUAAAUUUUGGCUUAAACUUAAUUAAUCCAAAAAUGUUAACAAUUAAUAAUAACCCAAAUUAAGAAGUCAGGGAUGCUAUAGAUUCAUGACAUGAUGUAUUCCACUUAUAUUAAUUAUCAUGUAUUAUGGAGCAUCUUUCAUCGUAUGUUAUUUAUACUCAUUGAGAUGUAUCGUUUUUAUUUAGAAAACGAUGUUUUGGAGUGUCGUGUGUUUGAACUAGAAGAUGAACAAAUGGAACUCGUUAUGUUGAGUCCAUGGUUUUUUCGGAUACGAUCAAUACGGCUAAUAAUUCCUAAAUUAUAUAAGGUCUAAUUACAAAAGCACGUGCGUGACAAUUAAACUGUCAGGUGGACUUGUUUCCUACUGUUUAUAUUUCUUUAGAUGGAUUAGUACUAAAUUCUUAUGAUGUUUUAUCACUUAUAAAUAUGGGAGAAGUAUCACAACUUUACUCGGACAUUACCAUUCGAAGGUCAAGUCUACUCGGAUUUGAGGUUGAGCUCUAGUCAUGGUCAAAGUCGUAGUCAAGUCGCAGGACAACACGUCAGUAAAACGGGUAUAACUCUCUCAUAUGAAGUUUAUUUCAGGCAAUCUUAGACAUUUUGGAAAGCUUAUGACAAGUUUUUUUCAAUGGAUAUGAGCUCGACUAAAUAUUUCUUAUAGUUUAGUCAGAGUGAAAGAAAUAAGGUGUUGUCACUAUUUUUGACCUAGUUGGGUCUUGUAGUCCUGUUGGAGUCGGAAUCCAGAUUGUGUAUACCUCUUUUUAUGGCUGCACAACUUUAGGUCGAUCUCCUCAUGUUCUCCUUUUAUAUAUAUAUAGUAGCCAUCAUAGUUUAGGUUCGGGUUUUGCUUAGAUUAUUCUGUUUAUACAGUUUCGCCGCUCGUUCGGUUUGUGAAACCUCAAUUUGAGUACUUCAUUAGUAAUUAGCGAUAUUCAGAUUGCAUCUACCUGUUUGUGUUUGUGUUCUCGAUUCGUUUGCAGGAAAAUCCUUCUUGGCGAGCUCAAUCGCGUCUUGACACGGUUGAUAACCAUGGAGUAGUGGUAUAGUAGUUGCGAGGGUUUUCGAUAUGUUCUGUUCGGAGUCUUUGGAUAAUCAACGUCAAAGCUCCACCAAUCGACUUAUCAUAUUACCAUUCGAAAAAUGUGGCAUAUGUGCAUCAAGUAGUAUCAGAGUCUCGGUUGUCCAUUAGGUAAUCCCAGUUAUCCCUUUUGUUUCGUCGUUUUUCAUCAUCUAGAGUUUAGAAAAAUUGCCCUACAAAAAUAUUUAGAUCUUAGUUUAUCCAUUGUUCAAACCACUUUGUGCCUUCGCAAUUUUGUUUUCAAUAUUUGCGAUGUUGAGUUUGAGUCCAUUGUCGGUGUCUUUGUUGCUGGUCAAGUCAUCGUGAUCUAGUUUAGUGUCGAGUAUUGUUGUUUAGUUGUCGUGUAUCUCGAUCUAACCUUAUUUGCUAUAGUUGAGAUUUUGUAUCUACUCAUGUUUGACCGCUAGUCUAGUCGACCAUCAAGUUGUGUUUGACCACUAGUCGCUUCAACCAUUUAUUCGAGUUUGACCAUUAUUUGAGUCGACCAUUUACUCAGGUUCGACCACUAGUCCUUCUAACCAGUCAUUUCAACCACCCACUCGAGGUCCAAACAGUCACUCUGACCACCCAUUCGGGGUUCUAAUCAGUCACUAUGACCACCCACUCGGGGUCCCGACCAGUCACUCCGACCACCUAGUCGGAAUCAACCACCUUCUCGGAUCCAACCAUCCUUUCAGGUUUGAUAACCUGGUCAGAGUAUAUCUGUUUUUGGUUGCUCUCGGACAUCCUACGAACUCAUCAUAUCGAGCAUUGUCUGACAAAGUUCGAGUAUCACUCGAUAGCCCAAACAGAGGUAGCCAAAGUUUAGAGAGAGAUUAUCUUUUUAUUACCUUUAUACUCCUGUUCUCUAGAAAAAGUUUGUGACCCAAAUACCUCACUGAUAUUACAAAUGACAGUAGAAGAGUUUUUGAAUUUGUAUCACAUUCGAAAAAAAGAAAAGAAAGAAAAGCAAGCAAGAAGCAAAGAGUGAAAAAAAUGAAAGCAAAGAGUGUGAAAAAAGAAAAAAGAGAAUUAAAAAAAGAAUCAGUUUGCAUUGUAAAUUUUGUUCUAUUAUACAUGUGUCUGUUAUAGUUUUUGGUUUGGUUGAGCUAGUUUUAUGAACGUGUUCGGGUCAGUAACUGUGCUGAGUACUAUAGAUUUUUAUUCAGCUUUGCUAAUCUAAUUUUAAUUAUUUUCAUUCCUUAUUAUUAAAUAUUGUAUAUCCAAACUACACCUUUUCUCGAUCAGAACGGUUUCUCCCCUUGCAACUAUCUCAUUUGUACCCGAUCACGAACUAGCCACCGGUUGUGUCAAUUACAGUGAUUGGUACGAACACUUGUAAGAGUGGUAAUACGCUUCUUGAGUGUGACUCCACAUCCACCACCUAGUAGUUGAUAGGGAUAAUUUAUCUUUUGUUGUUUUCUAUAUUCGACUAACCAUGGCAGGAGAAGCAUUGGAUGCAGAUGAGUGUGUUUUGAGGGAAGAACUCACAAUGGUGUUGAAUGAUCAUCGACAAAAUAUUAAUGACGACAUUGAUAAGAAGCUUGUGGAGAUAAACACUGCAUUGCAAUAUUUUAAUGAUAGUAUUUUCAUGCUCAAUACACGCUUUGAUCGAGUGGUUAAUCAGCCAUCAAACCUUGGGCGUGUAGAUCCUCAUGACGCAGCCUAUGAGCAAGAGGAGUAUGUCACAGAUUAUGAAAUUUUGAGGUAAGAAUAUGAAAUUUUGAGGCAAGAAUAAGACGCCUUUGAUGCACGACAAUGGAAUCUAUUAAACUUCAACCAUGCAGGUAUGAGAGGGAAUCGAAGUGUAUGAAGUAAAAAUUGAAGCUAUAAAGAGCUGGUCAACCCUUGAGACUGUUACUUAAGUAAGAAACUUUCAUGGUAUUGCGGGUUUCUAUUGGUAUUUUGUGCGAGAUUUCAGCACCAUUGCUGCUCCAUUGAAUAAAUUGAUGAAGAAAAGAGUGGUUUUCAAAUGGGGACCUACACAGGAAAAAACAUACAGGUUGUUGAAAGAGAAACUUACCCAUGCUCCUUUGCUCCAGCUCUCUGAUUUUGGUAAGAUCUUGAACUAGAAUGUGAUGCUAGUAGGAUUGGAAUUGGAGGUGUGCUAAUUGAAGAAGGUAAACCUACUGCUUAUUUUAGUGAGAAAUUAAGGGGCCAAGUCUGAAUCAUUUCACUUAUGAUAAAAAAUUAUAUGCUUUAGUUCGUGUGUUGAAACUUGGCAACAUUAUCUAUGGUCCUAAAAAUUUGUUAUAAAUUCUGAUCAUGAAUCGUUUAAAUAUAUUAGAAGUCAAGCUAAAUUGAAUAAACGAUAUGCUAAAUAGGUAGAAUUUAUUGAGUUAUUUUCAUGUCAUAAAACAUAAGAGAGGAAAGGACAAUGUAAUUACUAAUACGCUUUCUAGAUGUUAUACUAUGUUAUCUCAACUUGGUCAUAAGGUUUUUGGUUUAGAGAUCAUCAAAGACUUAUAUGCUACUGAUUUAGAUUUUAAUGAAGUGCUUGAAUAUUGUAAAGAAGGAAAGAUAUAGAAUAAAUAUGUGCUGAAUGAAAGAUUGCUCUAUCGUGCUAACAAGCUACGCAUUCGAGCUAGCUCCGUUCGUCUUUUGUUAUUACAGGAGGUGCAUGGAGGAGGAUUGAUGGUACAUUUUGGAGCAAAGAAGACUGAAGAUGCGCUGGCUAUCCAAUUUUUUUGGCCAAAGAUGAGACGUGACGUCGAGCGUUACGUUUUACGUUUUACCACUUGCAACAAAGCUAAAUAUCACAUAAAUUCACAUGGUCUUUAUAUGCCUCUUCCUGUUCCUUGUGCACUAUAGGAGGAUAUUUUUAUAGAUUUUGUUUUAGGACUGCCUAGGAUAAUGAGAGAGGGAUAUCAUACUUGUAGUUGUAGAUAGAUUUUUUUUAAAAUGAUAUAUUUUAUAUCUUAUCAUAAGAGCGAUGAUGCUACAAAUAUAGCUGAUUUGUUUUUCAGGAAAAUCAUUCGACUAUAUGGAGUGCCUAAUACUAUCGUCUCAGAUUGUGACAGUUUGAGUCACUUUUGGAGAUCAAUUUGGAAUAAACUGGGGACGAAACUACUGUUUUCUACUACGUGUCAUCUCCGGACUGACGGUCAAACAGAGAUCGGUACACCGCACCACCAAGAUCUAAAGUCCUACUUGGGAGAAGAAGAAGAGCUUGAGUCGAGGACAACUCCAAUUCAAGAGAGGGAGAAUGAUGAGCCUAUGGCUUCUUCAGAUAUGUUCAAUACCACCAAUAAUCCUCAAACCAUACAAGGAAUAUAGGAGAAGCAUCAAAACCUUACCCGAACGUAACCCCUCGAAGGUCAAGUCUACUCGGACUCGAGGGUGAGCUCUAGUUAUGGUCGAAGUUGUGGUCAUGGUCGAGUCGCAGGACAACACGUUAGUAAAACGGGCAUAACUCUCUCAUACGAAGUCCAUUUCAGGCAAUCUUGGAUAUUCUAGAAAUCUUACGAUGAGCCCUUUCCAAUGGAUAUGAGCUCGACCAAAUAUUCCUUAUAGUUUAGUCAGAGUCAAAGAAAUAAGGUAUUGCAUCACCAUUUUGGACCGAGUUGGAUCUUGUAAUUGUGUCAAGGUUGGAGUAUAGGUUGUGUGCGCCUCUUUCUAUGGCUGCACAAUCCUAGAUCAACCUCCUCACAUCUUCCUGUAUAUACACAAUACCUAUCAUAGUUUAGGCUCAUGUUUUGCUUAGAUUAUUCUGUUUUAUAUAGUUUCACCGCUUGCUCGGUUUGUAGAACCCUAACUUGAGUACUUCAUUGGUAAUUAGCGAUAUUCAGAUUGCAUCUA